rnacentral:rRNA from 1 species
UUCAUCUAAAGCUAAAUAUUGGCCAGAGACCGAUAGCGCACAAGUAGAGUGAUCGAAAGAUGAAAAGCACUUUGGAAAGAGAGUCAAACAGUACGUGAAAUUGUUGAAAGGGAAGCGCUUGCAACCAGACUUGCCCGCGGGUGAUCAACCGGUAUUCUUACCGGUGCACUCACCCGUGGUCAGGCCAGCAUCGGUUUGGGCGGCUGGAUAAAGUCCACUGGAAUGUAGCUCCUCUCGGGGAGUGUUAUAGCCAGAGGUGCCAUGCAGCCCGCCCGGACCGAGGACCGCGCUUCGGCUAGGAUGCUGGCGUAAUGGUUGUAAGCGACCCGUCUUGAAACACGGACCAAGGAGUCUAACAUCUAUGCGAGUGUUUGGGUGUCAAACCCAUGCGCGUAAUGAAAGUGAACGGAGGUGGGAACCCCUAAGGGUGCACCAUCGACCGAUCCUGAUGUCUUCGGAUGGAUUUGAGUAAGAGCAUAGCUGUUGGGACCCGAAAGAUGGUGAACUAUGCCUGAAUAGGGUGAAGCCAGAGGAAACUCUGGUGGAGGCUCGCAGCGGUUCUGACGUGCAAAUCGAUCGUCAAAUUUGGGUAUAGGGGCGAAAGACUAAUCGAACCAUCUGCUACUAGAUGGCAUACGGGCCGUGUGCCCCAGUAGCCCCCGUGCAGCGGGGGCGACAUCGCCGGUCUCUUCGGGAACGCCUCCGGGCUACCCGCAGUGAGCCUCAGGCUCAUCCACAGACUAAGUGGCGGUGGCCGUGCCCUGAAGCACGGUUAGGAUAUAG